rnacentral:rRNA from 1 species
GAUGAACGCUGGCGGCGUGCUUAACACAUGCAAGUCGAACGGUGAAGCAGGAGCUUGCUCUUGUGGAUCAGUGGCGAACGGGUGGGUAACACGUGAGCAACCUGCCCCUGACUCUGGGAUAAGCGCUGGAAACGGCGUCUAAUACUGGAUAUGUGAUGUGACCGCAUGGUCUGCAUAUGGAAAGAAUUUCGGUUGGGGAUGGGCUCGCGGCCUAUCAGCUUGUUGGUGAGGUCAUGGCUCACCAAGGCGUCGACGGGUAGCGGGCCUGAGAGGGUGACCGGCCACACUGGGACGGAGACACGGCCCAGACUCCUACGGGAGGCAGCAGUGGGGAAUAUUGCACAAUGGGCGGAAGCCUGAUGCAGCAACGCCGCGUGAGGGAUGACGGCCUUCGUGUUGUAAACCUCUUUUAGCAGGGAAGAAGCGAAAGUGACGGUACCUGCAGAAAAAGCACCGGCUAACUACGUGCCAGCCGCCGCGGUAA